AUGGAGAUUAAAACGGGAUUUAAAACAGACGCGGAUUACUGCAAAAGACAAUUAUUUUGGUCAAAAUUAGAUCGUAGCCUUAGAAAAUCAGUAGAAAGGUAAAUGCCAUUUAAAUUUUAAAAUGAAUAUAUUUUGCUUUAGGAGUGUGUGAAUACAAAUGUGAAAUGGCGGUGCCGCGCUCCUGCAUCUAUGAUUCGGCUGAAGAAAGGACAAAGUGUCCAAAAAAACGGAAAUAAAAACUCCUGGUGAAGUAACUGAGAUCCACAUGAUACACUAUUAUGAAGAUGGCGUUUGUUAAAGAGGAGAGCGAAGACUUCAGGAUUGAAGAAGUAUUCAGCAUUAAACAUGAAGAUACUGAGGAACAAACAGACAUGAUGGCAGUGAAAGAAGAGAGUCAAGAAAUUAAAGCAGAGGAAAAAUCCACAAAGACAGAAAAGACUUCCUCAGGAAAGAGUGUUCAAGAAUGUCUUGAGCCUUACAUAUGUGGACAGUGUGGAAAGAGUUUCAGAUGUAAAAAACACAUUUAGCAGCACGUGAAAGUUCACUCAAAAAAGAUCAUAUGUCAUCAGUGCAAAAUGACUUUCCCAGACAGGAAACAGCUUAAGGAACAUGUCAAAACUCACAUUGGAAAAACGCCUUACAUGUGCAUUUACUGUGGAAAGAGUUGCUUAAAAGAAGUACACCUCACGGUUCACUUAAGAGUUCACACCAGAGAGAAGCCUUUCACCUGCAAACAGUGUGGAAAGAGAUUCGCUCAAAAAACAAACAUUAAAGUCCACAUGAGAACUCACACUGGAGAGAGACCUUUUGUUUGCCCUCAGUGUGGAAAGAGUUUUAGACGUAAAGAAACCCUUAAUGACCACAAGAGAGUUCACACUGGAGAGAAGCCUUUCACCUGCACUCAUUGUGGAAAGAGUUUUGCUAAAAACCAAAACCUUAAAGUCCACAUAAGACUUCACACUGGAGAAAGACCUUACAAAUGUCUUCGGUGUGAGGAGAGUUUCAUCUAUCGAAGAGACCUGAACGAUCAUUUGCGAACUCAUUCUAGAAGGCAAGUGCAGAGUUCCUCAACGUAGUAUGAGGGUUACAGAAUACAGUGAUUUUAGAAAUAACAUGCAUAUUCAGUUUUUUGUUGUUGUUAUUGUUAAACAUAUUUCUGUUGUUACUGCUAAUAAAAUCCCUUAUUUUCAUCUUUACAAUAAUA